AUAAAAAAAUAGAGUAUUUUUUUUUUAAAAAUAAUUUAAAAAAAUUAAAAAUAGAAUAAUUUUUUUUUACAGAAUAUUAAAUUUUUUAAAAUAUAAAAUACAUUGUAAAUAAAAUUUUGUUUUAUUUGAAAUUGCUAAACAGGUCGUUAGUCUCUAUUCCUUCAUACGAUUUUUCGUUCUGAUCAUCAAUUUUAAUCAUUUAUUCCAGACUAAAAUACAAAAAAAAAUUCUUCGUUAAAUACCUAUUUGCUUAAUUUUCUUCUGACUUUUAAAAGUUUAUAUUUUAUUUCUUUAAAAUUUUAAGUUGAUGCAUUUAGCUUUCCUCUCAGUCAGGAUUUUGUCAAAUAUUCCGUCAAUUUCUUACAAUUUAUACCAAAAGUAUCUUAAAAAUAUUAUAAAUAUAUUAAAAAUUAUUAUUUUUUAAUAUAAUACAUAAGCGUAAUUUGAUCAUUUUACUAUCCUCAUCACUACCAUACUUUCUAAAAAUAUUUUUGAAAUAUUAAAAAAAGUAAAAUAUAAAUUUUUAAAAGUCAUGAAAAAAAUAAAAAAAACAAAUAUUUAUAUAUAUUUUUUGUAUU
rnacentral:lncRNA from 1 species